GACGAACGCUGGCGGCGUGCUUAACACAUGCAAGUCGAACGAUGAAGGAGAGCUUGCUCUCCGGAUUAGUGGCGAACGGGUGAGUAACACGUGACUAACCUGCCCCUUUCUCUGGGAUAACGCUCCGAAAGGAGUGCUAAUACCGGAUGCGAACUCUGAACACAUGUUCGGAGUUGGAAAGUUUUUCGGAAAGGGAUGGAGUCGCGGCCUAUCAGCUUGUUGGUGAGGUAACGGCUCACCAAGGCGACGACGGGUAGCCGGCCUGAGAGGGCGACCGGCCACACUGGGACUGAGACACGGCCCAGACUCCUACGGGAGGCAGCAGUGGGGAAUAUUGCACAAUGGGCGAAAGCCUGAUGCAGCGACGCCGCGUGAGGGAUGAAGGUCUUCGGAUUGUAAACCUCUUUCAGUAGGGACGAAGCGAAAGUGACGGUACCUAAAGAAGAAGCAUCGGCUAACUACGUGCCAGCAGCCGCCGUAA
rnacentral:rRNA from 1 species